UACAGAGGGUGCAAGCGUUGUUCGGAAUUACUGGGCGUAAAGCGUGCGUAGACGGUCAUGUAAGUCGGGGGUGAAAUCCCGGGGCUCAACCUCGGAAUUGCCUUCGAUACUGUCUGUCUUGAGUCCGGGAGAGGUGAGUGGAAUUCCUAGUGUAGAGGUGAAAUUCGUAGAUAUUCGGAAGAACACCAGUGGCGAAGGCGACUCACUGGCCCGAUACUGACGCUGAGGCGCGAAAGCGUGGGGAGCAAACAGG
rnacentral:rRNA from 1 species